rnacentral:rRNA from 1 species
ACCGGGGAUUGCCUUAGUACGGCGAGUGAAGCGGCAAAAGCUCAAAUUUGAAAUCUGGUACCUUGGUGCCCGAGUUGUAAUUUGGAGAGGGCAACUUUGGGGCCGUUCCUUGUCUAUGUUCCUUGGAACAGGACGUCAUAGAGGGUGAGAAUCCCGUGUGGCGAGGAGUGCGGUUCUUUGUAAAGUGCCUUCGAAGAGUCGAGUUGUUUGGGAAUGCAGCUCUAAGUGGGUGGUAAAUUCCAUCUAAAGCUAAAUAUUGGCGAGAGACCGAUAGCGAACAAGUACAGUGAUGGAAAGAUGAAAAGAACUUUGAAAAGAGAGUGAAAAAGUACGUGAAAUUGUUGAAAGGGAAGGGCAUUUGAUCAGACAUGGUGUUUUGUGCCCUCUGCUCCUUGUGGGUAGGGGAAUCUCGCAUUUCACUGGGCCAGCAUCAGUUUUGGUGGCAGGAUAAAUCCAUAGGAAUGUAGCUUGCCUCGGUAAGUAUUAUAGCCUGUGGGAAUACUGCCAGCUGGGACUGAGGACUGCGACGUAAGUCAAGGAUGCUGGCAUAAUGGUUAUAUGCCGCCGUCUGA